rnacentral:rRNA from 1 species
UACGGAGGGUGCAAGCGUUAUCCGGAUUCACUGGGUUUAAAGGGAGCGUAGGUGGGUCUGUGAGUCCGUGGUGAAAUCUCCGAGCUUAACUUGGAAACUGCCAUGGAUACUAUAGGUCUUGAAUACUGUGGAGGUUAGCGGAAUAUGUCAUGUAGCGGUGAAAUGCUUAGAUAUGACAUAGAACACCAAUUGCGAAGGCAGCUGGCUACACAAAUAUUGACACUGAGGCUCGAAAGCGUGGGGAUCAAACAGG